ensembl:lincRNA
CGUGGGCGCCCCCCAGGCCCCCGAGUCCCCAGCCUCCGCCACCCCGGCGCCGGCCCUCUCACCCUUUCAUUCUCUGCCCGGGGCCUGGCGCGGGCCGGCGAAGCCCCGGCCUCACAUCAGAGUGAGAGGCGCUGGCAAUGGACUAGGAAGCUCGGCUGCCGCUGCUACUGCUCCCCCCUGGGCUCCGGCGAGAGCCUUUCCCUGUCAAGCAAGAGGGCCAAGAAGGCAGGGCUGCCGGGGCUGCACAAGAAGAGGCAGCAGCCUCCUACAGCACCACUACAGGCACUGCGAGGACAUAACACCAGAGAGCCGCUCCUCUGCCCUCCGAAACGACAACUUUCCUACCAUCUUGGAGGCAGAGCAAAGGGGGGCCAGGGGGAAAAGUGCACCCGCUCCCGAUAAAGUACAAAUUUCUACUUCUCAUCUCUGGAAAAAAGUCUCCACCGGCCGUCUCCACCGGCGCCUGGGGGAGAAAGCGGGGAAGAAACUGGGGGUGCCUCAGAAACGUUUGCGUUUACUCCGGGGGGAAAAUGUUUCUGCAUCUUCUGAUGGAAAGAAAUCUUUACAAGACACAGGUUUUCCGAUCUAAGUUCUGGGUUUGAUGGUCAGUUUAUAAAUUUGAACUUCAAGAGAUUUCCUAGCCACUUUAUUUGUCUGCUUAUUUAUACGUUUUUGUGUAUAGAGAUAUUUCUUUCCUUUUAUAUAUAAAUUUGUGCUAUAUAUUCCCUUCCAAACUGAGAUUGCUGAAGACAGUUUUAAAGGGAUGUCUUUUGUCUCCUUUUCCCAAAGCAAUCUAAAUAAAACCUCUUGACUCUCCAGAAAGGCAAGAUACAGCUGUUUAUUUUUCACAGUGCAAAUUAAGACAGAGAUCCACUGGGGGGUUAAAUACAACUCAAGUAUAACUGACCAUGUUUCUAGAAAUAAUCCUAACGCUCUUAUGGUCUGCUUGUGAAGAAAGAUUACUGGGAAACUGCAAAUAGGCUAUAAAGACAGAUUUAGAUUUUCUUUAAGUAAAGUUGCUUACUUAGAAUUAUAUCCAGGCAUUUAAUUUUUGUUGUUGUUGUUUAGUUUAUAUCCUUUAAAAUUUAGAUUUUUGGUGCAUUGCACAUGUUGCUGACCACUUUCUGUGGCACAGAAUUGAGAAUGAGUAUGUCUGCUUUUGUUAGAGUUGAAAUGUUCAGAACUUCCAAUGUGUUGCCAAGCUAUGAGUUACUUUUAAUAUAUUACAAUGGAUGUCAUGAAUCAGCUUUUCUUAAAUGAGCAAAAGGUUAGUAGAUAGAGGGGAUCAAAGUUACCCAGGAUAGGGAGAUGAAAGCUGAAGUAACAGAGAGAUGAGGGGCAGAAGGAUGCUGCUCUCUUGCAACAAUGCCAUAGAAAUCUUACUGGAGGAGAGCAAAUCGCAGAGAUAUUUUGCUAUUUUUGUAAAGAAAGAGAAGAAUACUAGAAAAUGAACAAAAGAUCUUUUUGUAUUUCUACAGGGAGUGAUGAAUCUUGUACUAAAAGUUAUUUUUCUGAUGCAGAUUGCCUGACAUAGUGGAAAUGAAUUUGUAAUAUCAGUGCCUUGUAUCAGUAGAAUAUUUAAUUCCUUUAAUUUAAAAUUGACUAAAAAGCAUGUAGAAAUAACUGAUGACUCACCUUAAACUGUUUAUUUUUUUGAGCUUUCAAAUGUCAAAAUUCCCAUAAUGCUAAAGUGAGUUCAGAUAAUGCAUAUAACAGAUAUUAAUUAUUUUCAUUCUCACUCGAAUCUUUAUUAUCUCAGGUUGAAUACAGUACCUGAAUAGUCUUGGUUUUUUUCUGGGGUUUUUUCCUUACUAUUUGCUAGAAAAAUCUGAGGUAAUUAAAGUAAAAUUAACUGAUUCUUAGCAUCUCAGAAGCCUCAGUUUUAAAGUUGUGUUCUAGUUACAAUUUUGUUUUUUUUUUUUUUCUCUCAGAAGCCUCAGUUUUAAAGUUGUGUUCUGGUUACAAUUUUUUUUUUCUUUUUCACUGUUUAGAAAUCAAACACUUCGGUCAUAACAAGGAAAUCUAUUCCCUUAAUGAAAUCUAGUGGAGUUGAAAAAUAUGAUUUUGAGUAACUUGUUUCUUAUGUGUGACAUGACUUUAUAAAAAUACUUUGAAUUUUUCAAGACAUUAAGAUGUGUUUGAUAUAAGCUGACUGCACCCUUUUAUGUAGUCCCUCUUGUGACCAGCAGGCUUUUUUGAGUGAUACCUGUCUGGGGAUAGGGGUAUGUGCAUCACUUCAGUUCAGUUGCUCAGUCAUGUCCGACUCUUUGCGACCCCAUGAAUCACAGCACGCCAGGCCUCCCUGUCCAUCACCAACUCCCGGAGUUCACUCAGACUCACGUCCAUCGAGUCAGUGAUGCCAUCCAGCCAUCUCAUCCUCUGUCCUCCCCUUCUCCUCCUGCCCCCAAUCUCUCCCAGCAUCAGAGUCUU